rnacentral:rRNA from 1 species
UUAAAUUGAAGAGUUUGAUCAUGGCUCAGAUUGAACGCUGGCGGCAGGCUUAACACAUGCAAGUCGAACGGUAACAUGAGUGCUUGCACUUGAUGACGAGUGGCGGACGGGUGAGUAAAGUAUGGGGAUCUGCCGAAUGGAGGGGGACAACAGUUGGAAACGACUGCUAAUACCGCAUAAAGUUGAGAGACCAAAGCAUGGGACCUUCGGGCCAUGCGCCAUUUGAUGAACCCAUAUGGGAUUAGCUAGUAGGUGGGGUAAAGGCUCACCUAGGCGACGAUCUCUAGCUGGUCUGAGAGGAUGGCCAGCCACACUGGAACUGAGACACGGUCCAGACUCCUACGGGAGGCAGCAGUGGGGAAUAUUGCACAAUGGGGGGAACCCUGAUGCAGCCAUGCCGCGUGUAUGAAGAAGGCCUUCGGGUUGUAAAGUACUUUCGGUGAUGAGGAAGGUGUUGUAUCUAAUAGGUGCAACAAUUGACGUUAAUUACAGAAGAAGCACCGGCUAACUCCGUGCCAGCAGCCGCGGUAAUACGGAGGGUGCGAGCGUUAAUCG